rnacentral:rRNA from 1 species
GGCAGCCGCGGUAAUUCCAGCUCCAAUAGCGUAUAUUAAAGUUGUUGCAGUUAAAAAGCUCGUAGUUGAAUUUCGGGGUUAGUAGGUUGGUCAUGCCUCUGGUAUGUACUGGUCUCACUGAUUCCUCCUUCCUGAUGAACCGUAAUGCCAUUAAUUUGGUGUUGCGGGGAAUUUGGACUGUUACUUUGAAAAAAUUAGAGUGUUUAAAGCAGGCUAACGCUUGAAUACAUUAGCAUGGAAUAACGGAAUAGGACGUUCGAUCUUAUUUUGUUGGUUUCUAAGAUUGACGUAAUGAUUAAUAGGGAUAGUUGGGGGCAUUAGUAUUCAAUUGUCAGAGGUGAAAUUCUUGGAUUUAUUGAAGACUAACUACUGCGAAAGCAUCUGCCAAGGAUGUUUUCAUUAAUCAAGAACGAAAGUUAGGGGAUCGAAGACGAUCAGAUACCGUCGUAGUCUUAACCAUAAACUAUGCCGACUAGGGAUCGGAUGAUGUUAAUUUUUAAUGACUCAUUCGGCGCCUUAC